rnacentral:rRNA from 1 species
GACAGAGGGUGCAAACGUUGCUCGGAAUUACUGGGCGUAAAGCGCGUGUAGGCGGGCCAACAAGUCAGAUGUGAAAUCCCUGAGCUCAACUCAGGAACUGCAUUUGAAACUGUUGGCCUUGAGUGGUGGAGAGGGAAGCGGAAUUCCUGGUGUAGAGGUGAAAUUCGUAGAUAUCAGGAGGAACACCGGUGGCGAAGGCGGCAUGCUGGACCUUCACUGACGCUGAGGCGCGAAAGCUAGGGUAGCGAACGGG